CUGUCCGCUCCCGACUUCGCCGCCGCGUUAGUCGCGGCCGCAGCUGCCGGCGGGAGACACGCACAUUCACAUGGCAACCGGCAAACCCAGCUCGCCACUCCCCGGGACCCGAGGAGCCACGGCGCGGAGAGGGGGCCCUCUCUGGCUGCCCCGGCUCUUCUCCUCCUCGCCAGCGGGCGCUGAUCCAAGGACAACCUUUUCUUGGCACCCUUUUUGUCCUUCCUGGAGAAUAAAGACCUCAUUGGAAAGAAGAACUGAAACUGCCUAUCUCAAAGGAGAGCAUGGUGUCGCCGCUGAAGGAAUGACUGCUUGUGGUCAGUUCCACAGGGGAAGCUGGCAUUUGGUCGUUACUGAAACUCUACUCAUCAUCAAUCAAACGGAUGAAAAGAAAAUUCUAAAACUAAGGAUAAGAGACCACUAUUGUGGUAUUGUUCACAUGACUGUGAAUAAAGAACUGCUUUUAAAAGUAUAUGUGCUGGCCAGGCGGGUUGGCUCACACCUGUAAUCCCGCACUUUGGGGGCUGAGGCAGGAGGAUCACUUGGGUCCAAGAGUUUGAUAUCAGCCUGGGUACCAUAGUGAGACCCUGUCUCUAAAAAAGGAAAACAAAUAAAUAAAUAGCCAGUGUGGUGGCACGUGCCUGUAGUCCCAGCUAUUCAGAAAGGUGAAACAGUAG
rnacentral:lncRNA from 1 species